GACGUAGGGGGCGAGCGUUGUCCGGAUUUACUGGGCGUAAAGCGUGCGUAGGCGGCUGCGCAAGUCGGUUGUGAAACCCCGGGGCUCAACCCCGGAACUGCAUCCGAUACUGCGUGGCUAGAGGUAGGUAGGGGAGAUCGGAAUUCCUGGUGUAGCGGUGAAAUGCGCAGAUAUCAGGAGGAACACCGGUGGCGAAGGCGGAUCUCUGGGCCUUACCUGACGCUCAGGCACGAAAGCUAGGGGAGCGAACAGG
rnacentral:rRNA from 1 species